AUACGGAGGAUCCAAGCGUUAUCCGGAUUUAUUGGGUUUAAAGGGUGCGUAGGCGGCUUAUUAAGUCAGGGGUGAAAGACGGUGGCUCAACCAUCGCAGUGCCCUUGAUACUGAUGAGCUUGAAUACACUAGAGGUAGGCGGAAUGUGACAAGUAGCGGUGAAAUGCAUAGAUAUGUCACAGAACACCGAUUGCGAAGGCAGCUUACUAUGGUGUUAUUGACGCUGAGGCACGAAAGCGUGGGGAUCAAACAGGAUUAGAUACCCUGGUAGUCCACGCCCUAAACGAUGAAUACUCGCUGUUAGCGAUAUACAGUUAGCGGCUAAGCGAAAGCGUUAAGUAUUCCACCUGGGGAGUACGCCCGCAAGGGUGAA
rnacentral:rRNA from 1 species